AUGAAUCCGGCAUGCGCGGAGGCAGCCGCCGCCAAGAAGUCCCGGCACAAGGACAAGAAGGAGAAGAAAAGCAAGCGCAAAGAAACCGCGGAGCACCUCGGCGGCGAGCCCGCGACGGCCGAGGAGGAAGCCGUCCACAAGAAGAAGAAGAAGAAGCACGCGGAGGAGGAGGAGAAGGCGGAUCCGAAGCGGAGGCCGACGGUGAGCAUCGCCGUCGCAGGCUCCGUCAUCGACAACGCCCAGUCCCUCGAGCUCGCCACCCUCCUGGCCGGUCAGAUAGCCCGUGCGGCGGCCGUAUUCCGCAUCGACGAGAUUGUCGUCUUCGACAGCAGUCCAGCGGCGGAGAACGGCGGUGGCGCCGAAGAGGAAGAGGAGAGCGGUGCACGGUUCCUUGUCCGCAUACUGGAGUAUCUGGAAACGCCGCAGUACCUGCGCCGCCGUCUCUUCCCAAUGCACAAGAACUUUAAAUAUGUGGGGUUGCUUCCACCGCUGGACGCGCCGCACCAUGUGCGCAAGCAUGAGUGGUCUGAAUUUCGUGAAGGUGUAACAUUGGGUGGGGAUCGUUCAAAGGGUACACUUGUUGAUGUUGGGUUAAGUCAGAACGUUCUGGUUGAGCAAAUCGUAGAACAAGGAAAAAGGGUAACUGUAGCCAUGGGAACCAACAGAGACCUUACACCAGCUUGUGUAAGGAAAGUCGUUCCCCAGUCCUCACCCAGCGAAGAAAUGGGAUCAUAUUGGGGCUAUAAAGUCCGGUAUGCUUCAAAUUUAAGUGGUGUUAUCAAUGAUUCACCAUACAAGGAAGGAUAUGAUCAUAUCAUUGGCACUUCAGAGCAUGGCGAAACCAUUAUUUCAUCUGAGCUAAUCUUACCUUCAUUCAGGCACCUUUUAAUUGCGUUUGGUGGACUGGCUGGUCUGGAAGAAAGCAUCGAAGAGGACCCAAAUCUGAAUGGCAAAGGUGCAAAUGAUGUAUUCCCAUGUUAUUUGAAUACAUGCCCCAACCAAGGUAGCAGAACAAUAAGGACAGAGGAGGCACUUCUCAUAUCCCUUCAAUACUUCCAAGACCCCAUCAGGCGAGCAGGGAUGGCGAGUUAG
rnacentral:rRNA from 1 species